rnacentral:rRNA from 1 species
AACGCGUAUACAAUCUGCCUUUUGCUAAGGGAUACCCCAGAGAAAUUCGGAAUAAUACCUUAUAGUAUAUAGACUCGGCAUCGGGAUUAUAUUAAAGAUUACGGCAAAAGAUGAGUAUGCGUUCUAUUAGCUAGAUGGAGUGGUAACGGCACCCCAUGGCAACGAUAGAUAGGGGUCCUGAGAGGGAGAUCCCCCACACUGGUACUGAGACACGGACCAGACUCCUACGGGAGGCAGCAGUGAGGAAUAUUGGACAGUGGAGGCAACUCUGAUCCAGCCAUGCCGCGUGCAGGAAGACUGCCCUAUGGGUUGUAAACUGCUUUUAUACAGGAAGAAACAAUUCUACGUGUAGAAUCUUGACGGUACUGUGAGAAUAAGGAUCGGCUAACUCCGUGCCAGCAGCCGCGGUAAUACGGAGGAUCCAAGCGUUAUCCGGAAUCAUUGGGUUUAAAGGGUCCGUAGGUGGAUAAUUAAGUCAGAGGUGAAAUCCUGCAGCUCAACUGUAGAAUUGCCUUUGAUACUGGUUGUCUUGAGUUAUUAUGAAGUAGUUAGAAUAUGUAGUGUAGCGGUGAAAUGCAUAGAUAUUACAUAG